UACAGAGGGGGCAAGCGUUGUUCGGAAUUACUGGGCGUAAAGGGCGCGUAGGUGGCCUUCUAAGUUGAACGUGAAAUCCCUGGGCUCAACCCAGGAACGGCGUCCAAGACUGGGAGGCUUGAAUCCGGGAGAGGGAUGCGGAAUUCCAGGUGUAGCGGUGAAAUGCGUAGAUAUCUGGAGGAACACCGGUGGCGAAGGCGGCAUCCUGGACCGGUAUUGACACUGAGGCGCGAAAGCCAGGGGAGCAAACGGG
rnacentral:rRNA from 1 species